rnacentral:rRNA from 1 species
GAUGAACGCUAGCGGCAGGCCUAAUACAUGCAAGCCGAGCGGUAUUGUUUCUUCGGAAAUGAGAGAGCGGCGUACGGGUGCGGAACACGUGUGCAACCCGCCUUUAUCUGGAGGAUAGCCUUUCGAAAGGAAGAUUAAUACUCCAUAAUAUAUUAAUUGGCAUCAAUUGAUAUUGAAAACUCCGGUGGAUAGAGAUGGGCACGCGCAAGAUUAGCUAGUUGGUGAGGUAACGGCUCACCAAGGCAAUGAUCUUUAGGGGGCCUGAGAGGGUGAUCCCCCACACUGGUACUGAGACACGGACCAGACUCCUACGGGAGGCAGCAGUGAGGAAUAGUGGUCAAUGGGUGCAAGCCUGAACCAGCCAUCCCGCGUGAAGGAUUAAGGUCCUAUGGAUUGUAAACUUCUUUUGUAUAGGGAUAAACCUACCCUCGUGAGGGUAGCUGAAGGUAUUAUACGAAUAAGCACCGGCUAACUCCGUGCCAGCCGCCGCAGUAACAC